GCUUAUGAGGAUACAGGAUCUUUUUUGAAUAGAAUGAUGUCAGAAUUUGAGCCUGAAUUUAUUCUGAAAAAAC